rnacentral:lncRNA from 1 species
CAUAAUUAUAUGUAUUUUUGGGGUACAGGGUGAUAUUUUGGCUCAUGUAUACCACGUGUAAUGAUCAAAUCAAAGUAACUAGCAUAUCCAUCACCUCAAACAUUUAUCAUUUCUUUGUGUUGGGAACAUCCAAACUCCUGUCUUCCGGUUAUUUGAAAAUAUACAAUACAUUAUUAUUAACUGUAGUCACCCUACAGUGCUGUAGAACACUAGAACUUAUUCCUCCUGUCUAGCUGUAGUUCUGUAUCCAUUAACCAACCUCUCCUUCAGCCCCAACCUCUGGGGCUCAAGUGAUCCUCCCACCUCAGCCUCCUGAGUAGCUGGGAAUACAGGUGUGCACACCACCACACAUGGCUAAUUUUUAGAUUUUUUUUUUUUUUUGAGGUGGAGUUUCACUCUUGUUGCCCAGGCUGGAGUGCAAUGGCGCCAUCUCGGCUCACUGCA